UGUCAAGUUUUUAAGAGCAUACGGUGGAUGUCUUGGCACCAGGAGCCGAUGAAGGACGUUGGAGCCUGCGAUAAGCCUCGAGGAGCCGGCAACCGGGCUGUGAUUCGAGGAUUUCCGAAUGGGGAAACCC
rnacentral:rRNA from 1 species